CCCUAAACCCUGGACUGGUAGGGGGUCCUGAGGACUAACGUUGAGAACCCCUGGUUUAGGGGCUAAGUUCUGUUUGUCUGGAUCGACUGUAUCCGAAGUGCCACUUUGACCACUUCGAAAGUUUGAAGAACCAUUGUGCCAAGUCCCAAUAGGCACAAUAGUGUCUCUCAGCCAGUAUGAAUUAAAGGGGCCAUAAUCACAGGGUAGGAGGCUGGCAACCAGGCCUCACUGUGUACAGACAAUGUAGACCUUAUGCUGGGGUCUGUGUAUAAAAGAAUAUGUUUGGCUCAAUAAAAAUAGUUGUACUCCUUAGAACGGUGUGUUGUCCAGUUACUGGGGGAAUGGGCUAUAUUCACUAAGCAGCGCUUUGUUCCAGCUCGAGAGGAUUUUGGCGGAGAUCUUCGGUCUCAGACUUGCAGUUCCGCUACAGUUGAUUUUCAUUAUUAUUGCCUAUUAAUUGUCUAUUAACUGUGAUUUAUCUGAUUAAUAUGAUUCAGC